rnacentral:rRNA from 1 species
AUUGAACGCUGGCGGCAUGCCUUACACAUGCAAGUCGAACGGCAGCACGGGAGCAAUCCUGGUGGCGAGUGGCGAACGGGUGAGUAAUAUAUCGGAACGUGCCCAGUAGUGGGGGAUAACUGCUCGAAAGAGCAGCUAAUACCGCAUACGACCUGAGGGUGAAAGGGGGGGGAUCGCAAGACCUCUCGCUAUUGGAGCGGCCGAUAUCAGAUUAGCUAGUUGGUGGGGUAAAGGCCUACCAAGGCAACGAUCUGUAGGUGGUCUGAGAGGACGACCAGCCACACUGGGACUGAGACACGGCCCAGACUCCUACGGGAGUCAGCAGUGGGGAAUUUUGGACAAUGGGCGCAAGCCUGAUCCAGCAAUGCCGCGUGCAGGAAGAAGGCCUUCGGGUUGUAAACUGCUUUUGUCAGGGAAGAAAUCCUCUAGGUUAAUACCCUUGGGGGGAUGACGGUACCUGAAGAAUAAGCACCGGCUAACUACGUGCCAGCAGCCGCCGUAACAC